UACAGAGGUGGCAAGCGUUGUUCGGAAUUACUGGGCGUAAAGGGCGCGUAGGCGGCCAUCUAAGUCAGACGUGAAAUCCCCCGGCUUAACCUGGGAACUGCGUCUGAUACUGGAAGGCUUGAGUAUGGGAGAGGGAUGUAGAAUUCCAGGUGUAGCGGUGAAAUGCGUAGAUAUCAGGAGGAACACCGGUGGCGAAGGCGGUUCUCUGGGCAUUACCUGACGCUGAGGAGCGAAAGCCAGGGGAGCAAACGGG
rnacentral:rRNA from 1 species